CCUACGGGAGGCAGCAGUAAGGAAUAUUGGUCAAUGGGCGGAAGCCUGAACCAGCCAUGCCGCGUGCAGGAAGGCGGCCCUACGGGUUGUAAACUGCUUUUACAGGGGAAUAAACCUCGAUACGUGUAUCGAGCUGAAUGUACUCUGAGAAUAAAGAUCGGCUAACUCCGUGCCAGCAGCCGCGGUAAU
rnacentral:rRNA from 1 species